rnacentral:siRNA from 1 species
UUUCAAGCUGGUUCUGGUGCGA